CCUUUCGAAUGCAACAUUCAAAUUACUAGACAAAAAAAUAUAUCCUUAGAAAAGUGGAUUUUGAGGGUUAUAGCUCCAUAGACCAUAGACCAUCAUUCAUUCUGCACUCGCCCGUGAGCGCCCCCUAAUGGAACCAGAGUGGAACUGCAACCAGUUCAGAAGCCGGAAGUAUCCCGAGAGUGGAACUUCUCCCCGUAUUAGAAAUUCUCUGGUGUACAUGGUUUUAAUUGAGAGACCCCUAGCGGCAGUAAAUUACAUACAUUGUACGUUUAACGGUAGUUUCACCUGUGCUUUUGGCAUGUAAAACGUAUUUUAUGUGAUUGGUAGUUUGUAGUUAGCUACAGUCAGUGUCUCAGUGCAAUGCGGUUUGGAAACAGUAACAGCAGAAACGUUUGUGACAGUCAACAAAAGUGCUUCGCGGUCGUGUCAUUCGUAUUUAUCCCCGCUAACUGACUAGCUGGCUUCGCAGUUGCGAGAUAGCUAAUCCAAAAGUCUGCGGACACCGGGCGAAUUCUUGCCCAAGGGGACUGCAUGUUCCAGUCGUGACUCAAACUCUACGAGGUUAAUUUGUGCCACCCUUAUGAAAGACAGUGCCAUGCCCACUGGAAACGUAAACCAUGGCGAUGCAAGGGAGAGUCAGGCUGUGAAAAGAGCCAUCCUGUUGGGAACGUCUUCCCAAUGGGACAGCACCAUGGAGGCAUCAGUGUCCCCCUGCCACCCUCCCUCCCACACAGGCCUGACUGAUGUGUCCCGGCAUUGUUUUCCAGGAAGAUCAUUGGGAUCAUUGAGUGGCGUGUUUUUUUAAGGGCUAAGCUCUAACCGAAUGGCUCCAUUGUGUAAGCCAUUCUGCCCUCGGCUGCUAACAGCCCAGGGGCAGUGCUAAACAAGAUGGACUCAUUUACAGGCUCUAUGACGAGCUCAGUGGUGUUGGGCUAAAACAAGUCUUUGAAUGGUUUGUUACUCAAUUAUAGAACUUCUUCAGGUUAAAAUCCCCCUCUUAAAGUUAUCAUGUUGGAGCCCAAGGCCCAUUUUCAAAGUGAUGGCUUUUUCCUCCAUUCAAGUGAUAAUAUUCCUAAAAUGAAUUUAUUGUUUGUUUAUUUUAGUGAAAGCUGAUGUUAAUUUACUACACUUUCCAUAAAUCAUGGUACAACAGUGUUGCCUGUAAUUUUGAGAUUCUUGACCUGACACACCCCAAACAAACAAGCAAACAUAUUCUGUUCAAGUAAUGUACAAUAAUUUAACCCAGUGCAUAAAAUACUGACCAUGUUUACAGAGCCCGAGCAAUGUAAUACUACAGUAGAUCUCAACACUUACAACUCAAUUGAGUUCUGCACUUGAAAACAUAAAGUAUAACAUGUAAUAAUAUAGUUGUAG